rnacentral:rRNA from 1 species
GACAGAGGCCUCGAGCGUUAGGCGGAAUCACUGGGCUUAAAGCGUGUGUAGGCGGAUCGUUAAGUACCUUGUGAAAUCCCACGGCUCAACCGUGGAACGGCUGGGUAUACUGGCGGUCUUGGGCCAUUCAGGGGCGACUGGAACAAGCGGUGGAGCGGUGAAAUGCGUAGAUAUCGCUUGGAGCGCCGAAGGUGAAAACAGGUCGCUGGGGAUGUGCCGACGCUGAGACACGAAAGCCAGGGGAGCAAACGGG